rnacentral:rRNA from 1 species
UAUUGGUCAAUGGGCGGGAGCCUGAACCAGCCAAGCCGCGUGAGGGAAGAAGGUACAGCGUAUCGUAAACCUCUUUUGUCAGGGAACAAAGGCGGGAACUAGUCCCCGGAUGAGGGUACCGGAAGAAAAACCACCGGCUACCUCCGUGCCAGCAGCCGCGGUAAUACGGAGGAUGCGAGCGUUAUCCGGAUUUAUUGGGUUUAAAGGGUGCGCAGGCGGCCUGUUAAGUCAGCGGUAAAAGCCCGGGGCUCAACCCCGGCGAGCCGUUGAAACUGGCGGGCUGGAGUUGGAGAGAAGUACGCGGAAUGCGCGGUGUAGCGGUGAAAUGCAUAGAUAUCGCGCAGAACUCCGAUUGCGAAGGCAGCAUGCCGGCUCCACACUGGCGCUGAGGCACGAAAGCGUGGGUAUCG